GCCGGGAUAGCUUAGCUGGUCAAAGCAACGGUUUUGUAAACCGUAGAGCGUCGGUUCGAAUCCGACUCCCGGCU
rnacentral:tRNA from 1 species